rnacentral:rRNA from 1 species
AGAGUUUGAUCAUGGCUCAGGAUGAACGCUAGCGGCAGGCCUAACACAUGCAAGUCGAGGGGUAGUAGGUGCUUGCACUUAUGAGACCGGCGCACGGGUGCGUAACGCGUAUGCAAUCUACCUUUUACUGAGGGAUAGCCCAGAGAAAUUUGGAUUAAUACCUCAUAGUAUUAUUGAGUGGCAUCAUUUGAUAAUUAAAGUUCCAACGGUAAAAGAUGAGCAUGCGUCCCAUUAGUUAGUUGGUAAGGUAACGGCUUACCAAGACUAUGAUGGGUAGGGGUCCUGAGAGGGAGAUCCCCCACACUGGUACUGAGACACGGACCAGACUCCUACGGGAGGCAGCAGUGAGGAAUAUUGGACAAUGGGCGCAAGCCUGAUCCAGCCAUGCCGCGUGCAGGAAGACGGUCCUAUGGAUUGUAAACUGCUUUUAUACAGGAAGAAACACUCCCUCGUGAGGGAGCUUGACGGUACUGUAGGAAUAAGGAUCGGCUAACUCCGUGCCAGCAGCCGCGGUAAUACGGAGGAUCCAAGCGUUAUCCGGAAUCAUUGGGUUUAAAGGGUCCGUAGGCGGCCUUAUAAGUCAGUGGUGAAAUCUCCUAGCUCAACUAGGAAACUGCCAUUGAAACUGUAGGGCUUGAAUUAUUAGGAAGUAACUAGAAUAUGUAGUGUAGCGGUGAAAUGCUUAGAUAUUACAUGGAAUACCAAUUGCGAAGGCAGGUUACUACUAAUGGAUUGACGCUGAUGGACGAAAGCGUGGGUAGCGAACAGGAUUAGAUACCCUGGUAGUCCACGCCGUAAACGAUGGAUACUAGCUGUUCGGAGCAAUCUGAGUGGCUAAGCGAAAGUGAUAAGUUCCCCCCUGG